ensembl:lincRNA
AGUUCCUCCUCCCCCACAAGCUGGCACGUGUGGAUAUUGGCUCUGUUUGCCUUUGACCCCUAGUGAAAGAAAAUACUGAGGACCACAGGUCAUCCUCAAGCCUUCCCCAGGCUAUCCUUGUCCCUGAAUACUAAUGUCUAAAGGUCAGCCCAGCUACCACCAGUGUGCAUGUGAUGUGUCCCAUCUCCCCUUCGGAUUGGAGGAAGAAGCUGUGUCCCUCCCAUCAGGCAGACGGUCUCCUUAAAGAUUCUCCUGGUCUCCAGCUUGGGCUCUGCUGGAAAGAAGACGAAGUAUGUAGCAAGGGUGAAGGUAUGAUGCCCUCCCCACCAUCCAUCUCUCCCUCCAAACCUGUUCAAACUGGAACUUUAACAUUCACCCCCAAUCCAGUAAGCUCAACUCCCUUGAGUCCCUCUUCAGUCCUGUCCUCUCUUUCCCAGAUGGGUUCUUACUUCCCUGAGGCAACCAGAGAUAAGAAAAGACCGGAAUAUGAAUAUCCAGCAUUCCACAAAGAAUCCUACAGGCAGGGAUAUUGCCCAAUCACCAGUGCCUCGCAUCCCAGUUCUAUCCAAGAUCCAAGCUUGAUAUCCUCCUGAAAGACUUCCUGAAUCAGGUCACCAACAUGGACAUCUGAACUUCCAGAAUCAGGUCACCGUCUUUCUUCUCAUCUCUGGAUGUAUUUGGAGCUCAUUUGUCUGACGGUUUUUGAAUGCUAUCUUUUAAAAAUAAACUUUUACAAUUUGGGUUUAAUAAUUCUAGAUUUAUAGAAAAGUUGAAAAGAAAGUACAGAAAGUUCCCAUAUAUCCCUUAUCCAGUUCCCUUAAUGUUAACCUCCUACAUCAUCAUGGAACAUUUGCCAAAAUGAAGAUGUCAACACUGGUGCUUUGCUGUGAACUAAACUCCAGACUUUAUUCAGAUUUCAUGAAUUUUUCUCCUAAGGUCCCUUUUCCUUUCCGGCAUUCCAUCCAGGAUAUCACAUUGCAUUUGGUGUUUGUGUCUCCUUGGUCUCCUCUGGUUCUUGAGAGUUUCUCAGUCUCUCCUUGUUUUUCAUGACUGAAGUUUCAAGGAGUACUGGUCAGGUAUUCCAUAGAAUGUCCUACUGUUAGCUUUCAGCAGUAAAAGCCUUUCCACAAACAAAACCUUCUGCAGAGUCCUAAUCUGUGAGCAGACAAGAAUGGAGUUGCCAUGGUCACAGCAGUGAUGAGAAAUGAUCCCCUGAAUAUGAAUCUCCAUGAAACCCCCCGAGAAUUAUAAGAAACCCCCAGGAUACCAUGGAACCAAGUUUGAAAACCAUUAAUUUAGGCCAAGCUCGGUUCAGUACUUGGUUUUGAGCUAUAAAACCCUAGACAGGGAAUUAGAAACUAGAUCUUAGAUCUUACAUACUUCUGGUGACAGGGCCACCACAGUUUUUUUGUUUUUUGUUUUGUUUUGUUUUUUGAGGCAGAGUCUAACUCUGUUGCCCAGGCUGGAGUGCGGUGGCACAAUCUCAGCUCACUGCAAACUCCGCCUCCCAGGCUCAAGCGAUUCUCCUGUCUCAGCCUCCUGAGUAGCUGGGAUUAGAGGUGUGUGCCACCAUACCCAGCUAAUUUUUGUAUUUUUAGUAGAGAUGGGGUUUCACCAUGUUGGCCAGGCUGAUCUCGAACUCCUGACCUCAGGUGAUCCACCCAAGUCGGCCUCCCAAAGUGCUGGGAUUACAGGCAUGAGCCAUGGCGCCUGGCUGCAUUGGUCUACUCUUCAGGUGACAUCAUGUUAAUUGGACCAGAAAAGUGCCAAGGAGCCUUGGUAAGUGCAUGCAUUCCAGGGGAUGGGAAGAAAAAAACCCCUACAAAGAUUUAGUGUCUUACUAACAUCAGUGAGAUCUUUAGUGGUUUGGUAGUCAGAAGCAUGACUAGACAUCCCCUCCAAAGAAAAGGAGAAAUUCUUGCCCAGCAGAUAAGAAAGCUCAUCUGGUAGGCCUCCUCAGACUCUGGAGAAAACAUAUUCUACCUUUGGGAAUAUGUUUUACAGGUGACAUUAAAGGCUGUCAAAUUUGAAUGAGACACAGAGCAAGAAAGAGCUGUUCAACAGUUCCGGGUGUGGUGCAAAUGGUCCUGCCACUUGGCCCUUAAG